AUCGAACGCUGGCGGCAUGCCUAACACAUGCAAGUCGAGCGAGCGGCGGACGGGUGCGCAAUUUAUGGGGACUGCCUGAUGGAGGGGGCUAACUACUGGAAACGGUGGAUAAUACCGCAUACGAUCAGAUCACCCAUAUGGGAUUAGCUAGUAGGGGGGGUAAAGGCUCACCUAGGCGACUAUCCCUAGCUGGUCUGAGAGGAUGAUCAGCCACCCUGGUACGGAGACACGGCCCAGACUCCUACGGAGGCAGCAGUGGGGAAUCUUGCACAAUGGGCGCAAGCCUGAUGCAGCCAUGCCGCGUGUAUGAAGAAGGCCUUCGGGUUGUAAAGUACUUUCAGUCGGGAGGCGUUACCGACAGAAGAAGCACCGGCUAACUCCGUGCCAGCCGCCGCGGUAAUUC
rnacentral:rRNA from 1 species